CUGCUUUGACAGCAUAUAUAUUAAAAUUUAAGUGAUACAGAGAGGAUUAGCAUGGCCCCUGUGGAAGGAUAACAUGCAAAUUCGUGAAGGGUUCCAUAUUUUU